rnacentral:rRNA from 1 species
AGAGCGAACGCUGGCGGCAGGCCUAACACAUGCAAGUCGAGCGGCCGUAGCAAUACGGCAGCGGCAGACGGGAUAGUAACACGUGGGAACGCGCCCUUCGGUUCGGAAUAACUCAGGGAAACUUGGGCUAAUACCGGAUAAGCCCUUACGGGGAAAGAUUUAUCGCCGAAAGAUCGGCCCGCGUCUGAUUAGCUAGUUGGUGAGGUAACGGCUCACCAAGGCUUUGACGGGUAGCUGGUCUGAGAGGACGACCAGCCACACUGGGACUGAGACACGGCCCAGACACCUACGGGUGGCAGCAGUCGAGAAUUUUGACAAUGGGGGAAACCCUGAUCGAGCGACGCCGCGUGGAGGAUGAAGGUCUUCGGAUUGUAAACUCCUGUCAUUUGGGAACAAGGUGCACACGUUAACUGCGUGCGUAUUGAUAGUACCAGAAGAGGAAGAGACGGCUAACUCUGUGCCAGCAGCCGC